GACCGCUAUGGUGGUCUAAGUGGUCAGAACGUCCGCCACAGAUGCGAGAGGUCGCGGGUUCGAACCCCUACCAAGUCA